rnacentral:rRNA from 1 species
UACGUAGGGUGCGAGCGUUAAUCGGAAUUACUGGGCGUAAAGAGUGUGUAGGCGGUUCUUUGUGUCCGCUGUGAAAGCCCCGGGCUUAACCUGGGAAUGGCAGUGGAGACUAGAGAACUUGAAUCUGGCAGAGGGGGGUGGAAUGCCACGUGUAGCAGUGAAAUGCGUAGAUAUGUGGCGGAACACCGAUGGCGAAGGCAGCCCCCUGGGCUGAGAUUGACGCUCAGGCACGAAAGCGUGGGGAGCAAACAGG